UUCUGACAACCUUCAGUUCACCGGAAAAGUUAAGGAAAUCGAAAUUUUCUCGCGUGACCAUGUGAAUGUGUGCCUUGUUUUUCACAUCAUUUCCGUUUCACUUUCAACCCAGAAACCUCCCCGUACGGCACCUAUCCUCCUGGUUACCGAGCAAUAAAAUACGAAUUGUAUAUUGUAAGUGCAGGUUCAGUCGUUCGCUCGCUAGUGUUUUAUUGGAUUGUAAAUUUGAGUGAGUAAAUUUCUGGACGCUUCUGGUCCUGGCGCAAACGAGACAAAACCAAAGCCGUGUCCGGAGCAUAAAUUAAGGUCUCACUUCCGGUGGCCAUCCAUUGUUACAAUUGGACCACUGACGGAGCGUAACUAGCUGGUGGGGAGCCGACCGGCCAAUCACGCAAACAAUUGAGUGAGUGUUCUUGGUCGGAGCGGGAAGGAAAGCAGGCCAAAGCGUGGGGCGGGGAGGGGGCUUCAGUGUGAAACCAUUUCACGAAUACAACAUAAAUUAACGGUUCGAUUCGGUUUCAUUGUUUUGGCCUUCGAUUGCAGCUACAGCGAAUUAAGAUAAUUUCAUUUUUGGCACCCCAUUAAACAAACGGACGGCAAAAUGAUGGAACAUGGGAUUAUCAGAAAGUACACCGAUGUCCGGGUGAAAAUUUCCGGAUGGAACGAGCGAGUGCAGCAGUAUCCGAAGGAUUGUCCCUGCUGCUCCGUCGGGCAAGCCUCGUAUCGGACUUUCGGUUACACAACCAAACACUACAUUCCCAGAACAACAACUCAAGCGAUGUACGAUGAUGUCUGGAGCUUUUGCCAGCAUGGCAGUGGGUUUCAACGAAAUGACUACGGCGAUUUUGUCCCAUAUCGGUCUACGUACCAGACGGAUUACAACAAUCGUUUGCCGACGAUGUGCUAAUCAAAGCUUAGUUCGUGCAGCAAAAGUCCUCAUUUGGUAGUGAAUUUAGAGAUAACAGUGAACGACGUACUGACAGCCCAGUCACACGUGUGAGCCUACGAUGAAGACAAAAUUACUUUUUUCGCCAUGCUAAAGGAUGCUGUACACCCGGUUGGUGUAGCUUACCCGGUCACCCGGAAAUGUGAACCAUGCAAGUCAACCCAGCAGUGAUGAUUAUUUACGGUGGCGGAAAGGAACCGGACAGACUCGCUGCAGUGUACUGUUCAUUUUUCUUCCUGGUUUUGGUAAAUUUAUUACCGGGAUUAGGUAAUGCGAGCGCUGAAGCUCUGUGUCAAGUUCCUAAAUUCUUAAUAAAGCCAAAUUGAGUGAAGUGA